CAUAAAUCUGGCGAUAACAAAAUUCCUUUGUGAUUUCUACGUUUGUUAGCGUAUAGCACCUAAUUCCCUUCCCCUAAUCGUCACGUGAUAAAAGAUAAAUAUUAUCAUGAAUUGGAACUUGAUCAAAUACAUUUAUCGCAGGUAAACUCGCGCAUACCAAACCUUGCUAUUUGUACCAAUUCAUGAAGUAUAAUAUGAAACAAGCGUUGUGUUUCUGUUGUUACAAAGGUAACAAUGACAAAGACGCGAUAAUAUAUAAAAACAAAGGUGCAGGGGUCCAAGUUUCUAGGAACAGUGGAAGCUCUGCAUCAGAGGUGUACGAAAUGAGUACCAUCCCCAAUGGUAUUUCACCAAGAAUGAGGACGCAGUCUAAUUCGUCAACGUUUAGCGCCAAAUCGUUUUAUAGUGCCAAGUCUACAUUAACAAAUGAUGGGGAUUUUUACAGUGUGUGCAGUGGCGAUUCUGUCGAAACAUUUAAAAAUUCAAAUCUAAACAUUAAGUAAGUGAAUAUGGCUGAUUAAAAUUAAUACUCUUGUGAAUGUCCUAGGUAAAACUUCUACCUAUGUAGUUCACACGUUUUCGAUAUACGUUGCAAUCGAAGAUCUGAAAACUAUCAACACACUUAUCUAUGUUCAUAGUUCAAAAUCUUACCUACGUUCGUAAUAAUAGAUAGUAAUAAAUAUUGUGAUACAGGGAAUUAAAAGUGCAAAUGACUACAGAACAUGUUUGCAUAGACUAGCAUAUUGUAAACAGGCACUAUCUUAUAGUUGAAUCCUGACUGGGAGAUCUUCCUUUUCUGAAAUAGGUGUAUCUGUCUACCACGCUCAGUCCAAGGGAUUUUCUAAAAUUGUGUCGGCUCGGAUAUAUUUAUCUAUUUUGUUUUGAAUUAGUUACUUGUAAUAUAAUAGCAAAAGAAAUGGAAUUCAGAUUGCGUAGGUAGGCAGGUACAACAUACCUCGGUAUGUUUCUGAAGCGCUAGAUUAGUAGGUUCUAUUGAAUACUGUAUCAGUACCAAUCACGUAGAGUAGAAAGUGUCAUAUCAUUAUGGAACUUUCCAAAAGUCCCAAUAAUGGCCAAAUAAAUUACAAUUUAUGUACUUAUUUGCAUUAGGUUAAUUUUAAUUAAGUAGUAAUAAUUAAUUGUUAGAAUAGAUAUAUAAAGUUACAACAUUAGAAAUUUAUUAUUUUUGAA